rnacentral:rRNA from 2 species
CUUCUGCCAAAACCCAAAUUUUCUAUGGUUGACCUCGGAUCAGGUAGGGAUACCCGCUGAACUUAAGCAUAUCAAAAGGCGGAGGAA